UACGUAGGAGGCAAGCGUUGUCCGGACUGACUGGGCGUAAAGCGCGCGCAGGCGGUGCGGGGCGGUCGGUGCUGAAAUCGGGCCGCUUAACGGCCCGCGGCGUGCCCGAUACGCCCCGUACUGGAGGGUGGGCGAGGGGUGGUGGAAUUGCCGGUGUAGUGGUGAAAUGCGUAGAGAUCGGCAGGAACACCCGUGGCGAAAGCGGCCACCUAGCCCGCACCUGACGCUGAUGCGCGACAGCGUGGGGAGCGAACUGG
rnacentral:rRNA from 1 species